rnacentral:rRNA from 1 species
CCUACGGGAGGCAGCAGUGGGGAAUUUUGGACAAUGGGCGCAAGCCUGAUCCAGCAAUGCCGCGUGAGUGAAGAAGGCCUUCGGGCUGUAAAGCUCUUUUGUCAGGGAAGAAACGGUGUUUUCUAAUACAGAGCGCUAAUGACGGUACCUGAAGAAUAAGCACCGGCUAACUACGUGCCAGCAGCCGCGGUAAUACGUAGGGUGCAAGCGUUAAUCGGAAUUACUGGGCGUAAAGCGUGCGCAGGCGGUUUUGUAAGUUUGUCGUGAAAUCCCCGGGCUCAACCUGGGAAUGGCGAUGAAGACUGCAAGGCUAGAGUUUGGCAGAGGGGGGUAGAAUUCCACGUGUAGCAGUGAAAUGCGUAGAUAUGUGGAGGAACACCGAUGGCGAAGGCAGCCCCCUGGGUCAAAACUGACGCUCAUGCACGAAAGCGUGGGGAGCAAACAGGAUUAGAUACCCUGGUAGUCCACGCCCUAAACGAUGUCUACUAGUUGUCGGGUCUUAAUUGACUUGGUAACGCAGCUAACGCGUGAAGUAGACCGCCUGGGGAGUACGGUCGCAAGAUUAAAACUUAAAUGAAUUGACGG